GAUGAACGCUGGCGGCGUGCCUAAUACAUGCAAGUCGAGCGAACAGACGAGGAGCUUGCUCCUCUGACGUUAGCGGCGGACGGGUGAGUAACACGUGGAUAACCUACCUAUAAGACUGGGAUAACUUCGGGAAACCGGAGCUAAUACCGGAUAAUAUAUUGAACCGCAUGGUUCAAUAGUGAAAUACGGUUUUGCUGUCACUUAUAGCUGGAUCCGCGCUGCAUUAGCUAGUUGGUAAGGUAACGGCGUACCAAGGCUACGAUGCGUAGCCGACGUGAGAGAGUGAUAGGACACACUAGAACUGAGACACGGUCCAGACUACUACGAGAGGCAGCAGUAGGGAAUCUGCCGCAAUGGGCGAGAGCCUGACGGAGCAAGGGCGCGUGAGUGAUAAAGGUCUUCGGAUCGUAAAACUCUGUUAUUAGGGAAAAACAGAUGUGUAAGUAAAUAAGCACGGCUUGACGGUACCUAAUCAGAAAGCCACGGCUAACUACGUG
rnacentral:rRNA from 1 species